UACGUAGGGUGCAAGCGUUGUCCGGAAUUAUUGGGCGUAAAGAGCUCGUAGGCGGUUCGUCGCGUCGGCUGUGAAAUCCCGAGGCUCAACCUCGGGUCUGCAGUCGAUACGGGCGGACUGGAGUACUGCAGGGGAGACUGGAAUUCCUGGUGUAGCGGUGAAAUGCGCAGAUAUCAGGAGGAACACCGGUGGCGAAGGCGGGUCUCUGGGCAGUAACUGACGCUGAGGAGCGAAAAGCGUGGGGGAGCAAACAGG
rnacentral:rRNA from 1 species